rnacentral:rRNA from 1 species
AUGCCCAGAUCCGUUGCCCCCGCCAACCACCACCAUCCAGGACAGAGCAGGAGGCCAGAUCCGCCGCCAGCCGACCCCUGGGUACCGGAGCCCCUAGACGCGCUGGAGGGAGGGGAGGAGGCGGCGCCGGCGGCCACAGGACGCCGGUAUGAGGGAAAGGGCCGGAGCAGGGCCAACCCGACGCCACCAAGAAGAGGGGAGGCGCCCCGCGAUGCCACCAGCUGCGCAUCGGAGGGAGCCGCCCCGCCGUCGCCAACGCCACGCGGCCUUAGGCCGGCGACGCCCCCGGCGGCGGCGAGGGAGGGGGACGGGGAGGCGACGCUAGGGUUUCCUCCUGGGGGCGCCCUCGGGAGCGCCUCGGGGAGGGAGGGAGAAGCGUUUUCUUCCUCGUCUUUUUUGUUUCGGGUUCUUCCCUUUCAACAAGCCUUGCCAUUUUAUUUCCUCUAG